rnacentral:rRNA from 1 species
UACGUAGGGGGCAAGCGUUAUCCGGAUUUACUGGGUGUAAAGGGAGCGUAGACGGUAUGGUAAGUCAGAUGUGAAAGCCCGGGGCUCAACCCCGGGACUGCAUUUGAAACUAUCAAACUGGAGUGCAGGAGAGGUAAGUGGAAUUCCUAGUGUAGCGGUGAAAUGCGUAGAUAUUAGGAGGAACACCAGUGGCGAAGGCGGCUUACUGGACUGUAACUGACGUUGAGGCUCGAAAGCGUGGGGAGCAAACAGGAUUAGAUACCCCCGUAGUCCCUGAG